rnacentral:snoRNA from 1 species
AUCCCAUGAUCAGGACAGGCGCAAAUGUACUCCUGGAGAUGUUCCCAUGCUUUGGGAAUUGUCUCAUCAGCUUGCUAUUGGAAGCUAAAAAUCUUUCCACAAAGGGC